UGGAUGAACACGGAUUUAAAGCAGCACACAGUUCAGCUGUAGGUUCGCGGCUGAGACAGCUUGCAUUUAGAGUCUGAUUCAAGUUUGGGGUUAGGAAUGGGGAUCAGUGGGUUUCAAGAUUAACCCCAGAAACAGGAUUGGUUUGGUCUAGAGUAUACCUUUUUAUUUGGGGGAUUUAUUGAUUGGCUAUAUUUAGAUUUGAGGUUGGGGUUACCAUUGGGGUUGAGUUUGAGUUAUGAUUUGGGCUGAGGUUAAAUCCGGAUCAAGUUUGAGGCUAAUGUUGUUGUGGCCUCAGUCAGGGCCCUGCAGAUUUCACUGGUUUCCCUACAGAGACCACUGUAGAAACUGUGUCUCCCUGAGUUCGGUACAAGACCCUGGCCCUCAGCCCUCCCACUCGGGGAAAGCCCCAGACCAACUGCCGCCUCCACGCACGAAACUGAAUUUCACACAACCCUGAAACUGAGAUUGAAACCCAGAUCCACUCAUCUCGGAGCGCCCUAGAGCACAUGGCAGACUCCCGUGACACUGAGGCCCAGCGCAGGGCUCGCCCUUCCUUCCUCUCUGGCUCUCCUGUCUCCCCGAGUCACUGCCUUCCCCUUUCUGUCCCCCGGGGUCCCAUUCUCCUCUGACCUCAGUGCCCUCUUUUUCUCUCUGCCUCGUCCUUCACUGCAGUGCUGUUCUCUGCUGUGCAGUGGCUUCACCAGGGUCUUUCCAUCCAUCCGCUCACAUGAUGAGAGAGGAAGCGAAGCAGCAGAAAGAAAGGAAGACCCUCAGGGAAGAGGAAUACAGAGACAAGGAAAGGAACAGCGGCCAAAAGGGAAACUAAAAGUGACAAAGCGGGGACAGUGAGAAUAGAAAGCAAAUGAGCCGGGCGUGGCAGCGCAGGCCUGCGAUCUGAGCACUUGGGAGGCUGAGGCAGGAGGAGCGCCACCAGUUCGAGGCCAGCCUGGGCUGCAUAGCGAGACCCUGUCUCUACCCCCUCAUAAGAAGUGAUGGAGAAGAAACCCAGAGUCUCAUAUGUGCUAGACAAGCGCUCUUCCCACCAGCUACAUCCUGGCCCUCCCUAGAGUACCCGUGGCGCUGCACACACGCAGAAUGGAGUUCAUGCUUCUUUUCUUGGCCUAAACCCUCCAGUCACUCUCUCAGCUUCAGAGCCUCCACCUCUUCCGCGCAUGCCUGCUGCACACUGGGACGCCCAGGUCCGGCCCUUUCGUUUUGUUUUGUUUUUGGUACCGGGGAUCGAACUCGGGUCCUUGCGCUUGCACAGCAGCUGGCGAAACCACUGAGCUACAUCCUGGCCCAAGUCAGACCCUUUCUCACCUCUGGCUUUACACGCAUUCCUUCCUCCACCCGAACCCCUCCUGCCCCCACUGUGAAGGCCAGGCCUUCCGCACUUGCCUGUGGGUGUCCAGGAGCCCCGGUCAAGGACCCAGCGAGCUGUCCCUUUUCGUCCACCAAGCACUCGUGCUCAGUGAGUGUUUGUGGGGUACAAGGAAUGCUGGACAGGAGGGCUGAGACCUGCAGGACUCAGAACAGCGCCCUCCAAGGAGUGGCCCCUUGGCAUCCGGGUAUGUUGGAUUAAAGCACUUGGGAGGCCUCAGAAGCAGCUUCCGAACCCAGGUCUCUCUGAUCUUCUCCUGCCCUCCUGUCUCUUGCCCCUUUUUCUCUCCCAAAGCAAGCUCUAUAGGAACUAGAAUUCCUCUUCCCCGAGACAGCUCCUACAAACUGCAGCAUAGAAAUAAUACUGAAUAAAACCUCGAAGUAUUACUGCAACACCCAUUCCACCCCACACCUUCCCAUGGAACAGCUGGCCAUAAAGAAAUCCUCGCUGAUCUACCUCGUCUGAGAGCAGGGCUAAGACCCCCUAUCCAGAGGGAUCUUGCAGCAUGCCCAGAAGGAAAAAAAUGCCACGUAGACAGGCUACAAAGAAGCUGAACAGAUGGGCUCGGCUGAUUUUUCCCACUAACUCCACUGGGUCAGGCCCUGGUUGUCUCAUCACAUUUCUACACAUCCUUUCAUUCUUCAUCUAGUGUGAACAUACAGUGGACAGUGUUCCUUCGGUCUUCGGGCCUUUAUUUCUGCUUUGUUUUGCUUGUUUGUUCUGAAACAGUUUCAAUAUCUAGCCCAGGCUGGACUCAAGCUUGUGGUCUUCCUGUCUCAGCCUCCCAAGUGCUGGAAUUUCAGAAAUGCACCACCAGGCUGUCUUGAGUCUUCAUUUCUGAAGUCUCCUCUGUUACAUAAAAUUUUGAUUAGGGCGGGGAUUUAGUUCAGUGGUUUCGCCGCCUGCUGCACAAGCCUAAGGACCCGAGUUCAAUCCCCAGUACCAAAAAACCCA
rnacentral:lncRNA from 1 species